CGACUCGCCACCUGCCCUGCACGAGGUUAAAGCCAUGGCACUCCACACUCUUGGCCUCUAGCCAAGGGACUUUUGUUGUUGUUGUUGUUUGCAUUUCCCAAAAUCAAAACGCUAGAAAAGAGUUUUAUCUUUAUCUAGGGGGCUGUGUCUUGUAAAGGAAUCAAAGAACAGUUGUAAAUGUUCCAAUAUGAAUCUUCCAUGUGUGGCAAUUCACUUAAUGUGAAAAUUGUUAAAGCUACAACAAAAGUAAAUGGCUUUCCCAACAGACUUACUGGCAGAACAUUUAUGAGAAAUAUUAUGCUUGUAACUUUAGGUCAUUUCCCCAAAGUGAAAUGCCCCUUUUUUGAGUUUCUGUAAAUUGCUAACAUGAUGGAAGAGCCAUCCUGAUGCCUUCAGAGCUUUCUUUUAAGGGGAUUUCUAGACAUUUGUUCAUUGUCGAGGCAGAAGAGCUAACUCUGUAUGUACGUGUUCCAUAUUUCCUUUUUGGAAAAUAAAUACUUAAAUACUUAAAUUGGAUGAUUUUCUGUCAGUCCACUGUUUCUCCGGCAGAUAAGCUAUUAAUGUUGAUUUAUUUCUGGUCCCAAAUGGAACUAUUUGGGCUACAAAAACCAGUACAGAAGUUGAGUAAGUACCAAUCACUUUUGUUCUUUUAAAAUAACGCGCAUGGCCUCUCCAGCUGUGGACUGAGGCUGGCCGGCAUGCAUCUUUUCAAGUUUUCCACCAUAAGCAACUUUGGAGGUAGGAAGACUAGAUAUGAUGGCAUUGCAUUUAGUAUGAGAAAUAUUCCCGUACUGGAGUUUCAAGGCACUACAAUGUGAAAAGCAUAGCUCUGCCUUCUUGAGAAAUCUGCCUGUAUAGUAAGAGUUGCCUGCUGCAGAAGAAAAUGACAUCAUUAAAAUAGUCCUUGUCCUGGUGAAAGGUCCAUAUUAAAUCAAAAUAGUUCUCCAAAAUAAACUAAUAAACUUUGAAAUGAAGAAUUGCGAUGUCAGCCUGUUAUAACAGAGGCACAUUAUGUUCCUUCUCUUGCUUGUGUUCCUUAUUUCUGAGAAGAUAGGCAGAGAAAACGAUUUUUAAAACCACAACAACUGUUAAAACUCCAUAUCUGCAUUGCUAGGGACCGGUCUAUGAGUCAGAAGGCUACUCAUCUGAAAGGCGAGGUUGCAUUUGAACACACGUGGUAUCGAUAAAUUAAGAUGACCCGUCCCUUCUCUCUCUCCCUCUUUUCCUUCCUCCCUGUGGUUUCUUUCUUCUUCACAGGGGUCAGACCUAUGUUAUCUCUGACAGAUCUCCUUGGUUCCUUCGCCAUUCCUCCUCACAGGCAUUUCCUCUAAUAUACGUCCUGCACGUCUAAUCUCCCAGUAAAUCUCUUACCAGGUCUGCAUCUCAGAACACCCAGGCUGCCGUAGCAGCCGAACCCUGCAUCCCCAGAACCACAGCAGCUUGAGAGAAAUCAAUGCUUCCCACUGGCCAGCCCCAGCGAGCUGCUGGAGACCCGGUGCUGUACCGUGAGCGUGCGAGCCACUCGCCCUUGUUUCUUCUCCUAGGACUGAAGUGCACCGCUGACUAAAGAGGCUGGCACGCUUGGAAAUAACAAGAGUCUCAAGGACUUCAAGGGGCUCAGGCUCAGGCUUUUCUAAGAAGUUCCUGUGGGCGGACACCAUUGGGCGGCUACCCAACAGCCAGCAAAGUGCCCCACCCAUGGCUAUACCAGGAUUUGGCUAACCCAGUCAAGGUAUCCCAUUCACCUUUAGUCUGACGCUCUCCUUUCCAAAAUCCUUUGCAACUGGAGGUGGCAGGUGGCAGAGUUCUGACUAAAGGGACCUAAGUGGAAGUUGGCUGAGGACUUCUGGAAAACCUUUAGGUGCCUUAACAAAAUGGACAGGUGUAAGAGAGGAGCUUGCAGACACCACUCCCUCUUUAUCUUCAUGCCUUGAACAUGAAUGUGAGGGCUGGGUUUUUAGCUGCCGUUUGGCCAGUAUGUAAUGACAGUCAUAAAGCCAAAAGGCCGACA